AGUGUUGUGAGUAACUAAUGCACAGUACACUGAUAGUGUAAAAGAUGUUAGCAUUGAAAGUGUUUGGAGUGAGCAGAGCUUCUAGCUGAACACAGAGUCCCGAAUCCUUCAGCGAGCGUCUGUCGGAGAGAAAGCUCAUACACGGCUGGUGUUUCUCGCAGGACUGUUCGCUCGCGGAGAUCAAGAAGCUGUGCUGGGAUCAGAUGCAGCAGCUCUCGGAGAUUCAUCUGCUGCAGAUUCUGGAGGGUAAAGAGUUAUCAGCCGCACCUGAAGAGAAGAUCUUCACCGACAGCCAGCAGGACAGUAACGUGGACUCCACUUCGUCUCUGAGAGAAGAUCCUGAAGCAGAAGAAAAGCAAGGUAAAGA